AUUGGACGCUGGCGGCAGGCCUAACACAUGCAAGUCGAGCGGAUGAAGGGAGCUUGCUCCUGGAUUCAGCGGCGGACGGGUGAGUAAUGCCUAGGAAUCUGCCUGGUAGUGGGGGAUAACGUCCGGAAACGGGCGCUAAUACCGCAUACGUCCUGAGGGAGAAAGUGGGGGAUCUUCGGACCUCACGCUAUCAGAUGAGCCUAGGUCGGAUUAGCUAGUUGGUGGGGUAAAGGCCUACCAAGGCGACGAUCCGUAACUGGUCUGAGAGGAUGAUCAGUCACACUGGAACUGAGACACGGUCCAGACUCCUACGGGAGGCAGCAGUGGGGAAUAUUGGACAAUGGGCGAAAGCCUGAUCCAGCCAUGCCGCGUGUGUGAAGAAGGUCUUCGGAUUGUAAAGCACUUUAAGUUGGGAGGAAGGGCAGUAAGUUAAGACCUUGCUGUUUGGACGUUACCAACAGAAUAAGCACCGGCUAACUUCGU
rnacentral:rRNA from 1 species